rnacentral:rRNA from 1 species
UACGGAGGGUGCAAGCGUUAUCCGGAUUCACUGGGUUUAAAGGGAGCGUAGGUGGGCAGGUAAGUCAGUGGUGAAAUCUCUGGGCUUAACCCGGAAACUGCCAUUGAUACUAUUUGUCUUGAAUUAUCUGGAGGUAAGCGGAAUAUGUCAUGUAGCGGUGAAAUGCUUAGAUAUGACAUAGAACACCCAUUGCGAAGGCAGCUUACUACGGAUAUAUUGACACUGAGGCUCGAAAACGUGGGGAUCAAACAGG